GCCCAGUGAGAUGCCCUUAAACGGCCGCGAGAACCAACCGCGCAAAGGUAGCGCAAUCACUUGUCCCCCAAAUAGGGACCCGUAUGAAAGGUUACAUGAGAAAGAAACUGUCUCCUUAGGUUGGUCGAUGAAACUGAUCCAUCAGUACAAAAGCUGAUAUAAAAAAAUAGGACGAAAAGACCCUGUGAAACUUCAAACCUAAUCAAACCACCACCCUUGACCAAGGUCUUAAGUUGGGGCAACUAUGGAGAAACUAAACCUCCACCACACUGCCAAGUCCAACAAGACAAAGCAAACUAACUAAUAAUCGACCCAGUACAACUGACCAAAGAACCAAGCUACUCCAGGGAUAACAGCGCCAUACUCUUCAAGAGUCCAUAUCAACAAGAGUACCUACGACCUCGAUGUUGGAUCAGG
rnacentral:rRNA from 1 species